UUAUCGCAUGAAACACAAGAAGGUGGGUGUUCCCCUUGAUAAGGAUGAAAGAGGCCCUAGUGGACCGUACAGCAUGUAUGCGGUGAAAGCAUGGCAUCUAACCAUGUUUUUGA
rnacentral:ncRNA from 1 species